AUUGAACGCUGGCGGCAGGCUUAACACAUGCAAGUCGAACGAGUGGCGGACGGGUGAGUAAUGCCUGGGAAACUGCCUGAUGGAGGGGGAUAACUACUGGAAACGGUAGCUAAUACCGCAUACCAUCAGAUGUGCCCAGAUGGGAGGAGCUAGUUGGUGGGGUAACGGCUCACCAGGGCGACGAUCCCUAGCUGGUCUGAGAGGAUGACCGGCCACGCUGGAACGAGGGCACGGUCCAGAGUCCUACGGGAGGCAGCAGUGGGGAAUAGUGCACAAGUGGCUAAAGCCUGAUACAGCCAUGCCGCGUGUAUGAAGAGGGCCUUCGGGUUGUAAAGUACUUUCAGCGGGGAGGCGUUACCCGGAGAAGAAGCACCGGCUAACUCCGUGCCAGCAGCCGCGGUAAUAC
rnacentral:rRNA from 1 species